AGAGUUUGAUCCUGGCUCAGGACGAACGCUGGCGGCAUGCCUAACACAUGCAAGUCGAACGGAGUUUAGUUUUAGAUCCCUUCGGGGUGACGAAGCGAAGACUUAGUGGCGGACGGGUGAGUAACGCGUGAGGAACCUGCCUUUCAGAGGGGGACAACGUUUGGAAACGAACGCUAAUACCGCAUAACAUGGUUAAGUGGCAUCACUUGAUCAUCAAAGGAGCAAUCCGCUGAAAGAUGGCCUCGCGUCCGAUUAGCUAGAUGGCGGAGUAACGGCCCACCAUGGCGACGAUCGGUAGCCGGACUGAGAGGUUGAACGGCCACAUUGGGACUGAGACACGGCCCAGACUCCUACGGGAGGCAGCAGUGGGGGAUAUUGCACAAUGGGCGAAAGCCUGAUGCAGCAAUGCCGCGUGAGGGAAGAAGGUUUUCGGAUUGUAAACCUCUGUCCCUGAUGACGAAGACAGUGACGGUAAUCAGGGAGGAAGCCACGGCUAACUACGUGCCAGCAGCCGCGGUAAUACGUAGGUGGCAAGCGUUGUCCGGAAUUACUGGGUUUAAAGGGAGCGUAGGCCGUGCUUUAAGAGUGUUGUGAAAUGUAGGCGCCCAACGUCUGCACUGCAGCGCGAACUGGAGCACUUGAGUACGCAGGAAGUAGGCGGAAUUCGUCGUGUAGCGGUGAAAUGCUUAGAUAUGACGAAGAACUCCGAUUGGGAAGCCAGCUUACUGUAGCGCCACUGACGCUGAUGCUCGAAAGCGUGGGUAUCGAACAGGAUUAGAUACCCUGGUAGUCCACGCGGUAAACGAUGGAUGCUCGCUGUAUGCCUAUUAGGUUUAGUGGACCAAGGAAACACUUUUAGCUUCACCUACUGGGGAGUACGCCGUCAACGGUAGAAACUCAAAAGGAAAUUGACGGGGGGCCCCCCCAAGCGGAGGGACAAUGUGGUUUAAAUUCGAAUGAUACGCGAGGAACCUACUCCGGGCUUGAAAUUGAGCAGGACGCAUCCAGAGAUAGAUGUUUGUUCGGUCCUGCUUGGAGGUGCUGCAUGGUUGUCGUCAGCUCGUGCCGUGAGGUGUCGGCUUAAGUGCCAUAACGAGCGCAACCCUCGUCGCUAGUUGCCAUCAGGUGAUGCUGGGCACUCUGGCGAUACUGCCAUCGCAAGGUGUGAGGAAGGUGGGGAUGACGUCAAAUCAGCACGGCCCUUACGUCCGGGGCUACACACGUGUUACAAUGGCGCAUACAGAGAGUCGGUUCUGGGCAAUCAGGAUCCAAUCAUGAAAAUGCGUCGUAGUUCGGAAUGGGGUCUGCAACCCGACCCCAUGAAGCUGGAUUCGCUAGUAAUCGCGCAUCAGCCAUGCCGCGGUGACUAAAAGGCCGGGUCUUGCACACACCGCCCGUCA
rnacentral:rRNA from 1 species